CGAUGUCGGCUCAUCACAUCCUGGGGCUGUAGUAGGUCCCAAGGGUUGGGCUGUUCGCCCAUUAAAGUGGUACGCGAGCUGGGUUCAGAACGUCGUGAGACAGUUCGGUCCCUAUCCGUCGCAGGCGGAGGAAAUUUGAGAAGACCUGUCCUUAGUACGAGAGGACCGGGAUGGACGUACCUCUGGUGUACCAGUUGUCCUGCCAAGGGCAUGGCUGGGUAGCUAUGUACGGAAUGGAUAAGCGCUGAAAGCAUCUAAGCGCGAAGCCAACUUCAAGAUAAGAUUUCCCACCGCAAGGGUAAGACCCCAGAAAGACUAUCUGGUUGAUAGGUCGAAGGUGUAAGUGCAGCAAUGUAUUUAGCUUAUCGAUACUAACAGGUCGAGGACUUGACCAA
rnacentral:rRNA from 1 species